rnacentral:rRNA from 1 species
UACGUAGGUGGCAAGCGUUGUCCGGAUUUACUGGGCGUAAAGAGCGCGCAGGCGGCCGAGUAAGUCGAAUGUGAAAGCCCCCGGCUCAACUGGGGAAGGUCAUUCGAUACUGUUCGGCUUGAAGAUAGGAGAGGGAAGCGGAAUUUCAGGUGUAGUGGUGAAAUGCGUAGAUAUCGGGAGGAACACCAGUGGCGAAGGCGACUACCUGGCCUGUUCUUGACGCUGAGGCGCGAAAGCUAGGGGAGCAAACGGG